rnacentral:lncRNA from 1 species
GAGUUCAAAACUCACAGGUUUUUAGCUUUUUGUCAGAAAGUUCAGAUGAAUUUCUGACAUUUUUUUCCCAUGCUUUUUUUCAAACCUAAAUUUUCUUCCUCAGAAAGCAGCACUGUUUGCUUUUUAAACGUUCUCUUUUUAUUUAAACUGUCAUGUUUUCUUCAUUUCCACUUUGAACAUUUAAAAUCUAUAGUCUUCUCAUCUGUUUAGACUAUAUGCUUUCCUCCUUUUAGGCUGUGCUCCAGUGUUUGACUGGUCUGACUAGGAAUUAAGGGCCUGCCCCCUUGGCACUGCCCUCGGUAGCUGUGUGUCUGAUUUUCACUGAUGGAAAGAGAUAGCCGCUCUCCAGCUCCCUCCAGGAACCAGAGAGGAUUGUGCCACUUCAGUAAAGAGCUGCCUUUGUGAAUUGUUAGCCAGAUCAAGGGUGAUGCUGCUUGCUCUAACUUGAGCUGUAUUUAUUUUGCCAAUACAAGACUUAACGGUCUAAGACAUGCUCAGGGGAGGAAAACAUUCUGCUUCUAAACAGUGUCCGUAAACAGAACUCAGUCCGAAUUGGAAAGUCAUCUCUCCUCGUGAAAAUGCUGCUCAGAGGAGGCUCCGGAUGGAGGUGAACAGCAGCUCAUGUGGAGCUGGCCAUCCCUCUCCUGUGCUCAGAGUUCUGUGCUCUCACAGAGAGUCCAGAGUGGUCAGGGUAGAAAGCAGCCCCUGACCUGGUCCUCUAGAAAUACUUUAUCCUGCAGCGGCCGGGCUGCUGAGGACUCAGUUUGCUCUCCUGAGGAGGGCGAAAUGCUGACCUGUACUCCCAGUUCCUGGCUUCCUUCAGUAGGAACCCCUUACAGAUGAGAAGGGCCUGCCCCUGCUCCUAAAACAAGAGCAGAUUCUUACCCAGAGAACUUGGUUACACAAACGACCAAGUAAUCUCUAACCUCCUAGCCAUAGGACUAGUGUCUGCUUAGUUAACAAAAGAAUCUUCUCUGAAAGAACAAAAACAAAACAAAACCAACCCUGUACUUUUGAUACAAAUGUCAUUGACAAAAAAUAUGUUAAAUAUAUGUUGUAUUAUAAGUCUUUACUCUUGAUUUGAUUUUUUUUUUUUUUAGCACCCAUUGGCCUUGAACUCUCAUUCUCUUAUCUUUGUCCCAGAUGUGGAGACUAGAUAUUUCUCACUUGAUUAAUUUUUAUUCUUGCCUAUGGAGCCAACUGGAAGUGGGAUUGGUCUUACAGUGUUCAGUUUUGUUUUAUCAAAGUGUGUAAGGAUGGCCUUUGUCAUGAUGGGCUCAGGAGUAGUAACAGGUAAGCGAGACUCUUCCCCCCCCCCAGUGCUGGGAUUGAGCCGACAGGUUCCUGAAUGCCUGGUGCGUGUUCUCCCCUCAGUUCAGGCUCCAUGUUUGUUUUCUUUAAGUGAGAACAUAUCCGUCUUUGGGCCUUUCCCCACUACUUUUGGCAGCCUUAGGGAUUAAAUCUAAGACUUCCUGCAUACCAGGCAAGUGUUCUACCUCUGAGCUGCAACCUCAGCUGAAGUGUUGUGUGCUGCCGGUUAAUGGGUGGUUAUAAAAACAAUGGGGCCAUGAGUAGUUGAGCUGUUUUCUGUUCAGUCUCUUUCCCAGUCCAGUUUGGAAGUGUGCUCCCACCUACUUCA